AAAUGGCAAACAGUUGGAUGCACCUGGAGCCCUGAAGAGCCACCUGCAGCAAUACAUGACGCUCGGGUUUAUUUCUAAAUCUGAGCUAAUGCCUCUCUUGGAGCACAAAACUUGCUCUACUCAAAGAGAGGCGAUGACUCGAAUGGACCAACCCAGGCUUAGAAGCCAAUGUGCCUUCGACCUGGGAGACACAGUGAGCGUGGAGGUUGAGUAACUCAGAGAAAUACUCCAGACACCACAAAGGGACUACCUUGAUUCCACAGGAGGAGACACUAAUGUAUCUGAAGGAGAGCACAGAAAGCUUGGCUUUAACACAAAGGUUAAUCAUUGGCUGAGGAGCAGUCAUCCAGCAGACCCUUAUAUCCACAGAAGAGAUGAUGAUGGAAUUGCAGGGAGGCGACAGGAUGUCAUCCACACUUGCUUCACUCCAAAAAUCAUGACAUGGUGGAAGUUAACCUUCAACUCCAGCCUUGAGGCAUUUGCAGCCUUUAAAAGGUCUGAUUCCAUGAUCGGCCUGCAUUUAGCUCCAUCAACAGCGACCAGCUUCUCCUGCCUCUGUCAAGUUUUUUAAUGUGUUCAGAGUAACAUAGUGUUCUUUUUCUGACCUGAA